GAUGAACGCUGGCGGCGUGCCUAAUACAUGCAAGUCGAGCGAACAGAUGAGGAGCUUGCUCCUCUGACGUUAGCGGCGGACGGGUGAGUAACACGUGGAUAACCUACCUAUAAGACUGGGAUAACUUCGGGAAACCGGAGCUAAUACCGGAUAAUAUAUUGAACCGCAUGGUUCAAUAGUGAAAGACGGUUUUGCUGUCACUUAUAGAUGGAACCGCGCCGCAUUAGCUAGUUGGUAAGGUAACGGCUUACCAAGGCAACGAUGCGUAGCCGACCUGAGAGGGGGACGCCGCACAGAGAGAUGGAGACGCCCUCGAGACACCGAGAGGCGGCAGCGAGGGGGACUCGACGAAGAUGGGGGAAAGCCUGACGAAGCAGCGCGGGGGGGAUGAAGAGGGGCUGCGGAUGGUAAAACUUUUUUAUGGGGGAAAAACACAUUUGAAAGAAACGAAGCGCUUUUUGACGGUACAUAAAGAAGAAGCCCCGGCUAACUACGUG
rnacentral:rRNA from 1 species